rnacentral:rRNA from 1 species
ACGGUACAACGAGUCGCAAGCUCGCGAGAGUAAGCUAAUCUCUUAAAGCCGUUCUCAGUUCGGACUGUAGGCUGCAACCCGCCUACACGAAGUCGGAAUCGCUAGUAAUCGCGGAUCAGCAUGCCGCGGUGAAUACGUUCCCGGGCCUUGUACACACCGCCCGUCACACCAUGGGAGUUUGUAACGCCCAAAGUCGGUGGCCUAACCUUUAUGGAGGGAGCCGCCUAAGGCGGGACAGAUGACUGGGGUGAAGUCGUAACAAGGUAAC